rnacentral:lncRNA from 1 species
GGGGAGAUAUUGCACCUUGAAAAUCCUAGUGCAUUUAUGAAGUACAGGCAGCUUGAAGCAGAUUAUUAACUAUCUCAAAAGACUAAGGGUCGACAAUUGCUGCUCAACCAUUUUGGAAUGUUCUACAUGGUUCCCAAAAAAAUUAAUUCUGAAGAUUGUCUUUAGGCCCGUCGGAGUUCGCCACAUGGUAGAUGGUGAGAAUUCUCAAGGCAUCCCUUGCGAAUGGUUCAU